UGGGGAAUUUUGGACGAAUUGGGCGAAAGCCUGAUCCAGCAAUGCCGCGUGUGUGAAGAAGGCCUUCGGGUUGUAAAGCACUUUUGUCCGGAAAGAAAUCCUUGGCUCUAAUACAGUCGGGGGAUGACGGUACCGGAAGAAUAAGCACCGGCUAACUACGUGCCAGCAGCCGCGGUAAUACGUAGGGUGCAAGCGUUAAUCGGAAUUACUGGGCGUAAAGCGUGCGCAGGCGGUUUGCUAAGACCGAUGUGAAAUCCCCGGGCUCAACCUGGGAACUGCAUUGGGUGACUGGCAGGGCUAGAGUAUGGCAGAGGGGGGUAGAAUUCCACGUGUAGCAGUGAAAUGCGUAGAGAUGUGGAGGAAUACCGAUGGCGAAGGCAGCCCCCUGGGCAAUACUGACGCUCAUGCACG
rnacentral:rRNA from 1 species